GAGCCUGAGAAACGGCUACCACAUCUACGGAAGGCAGCAGGCGCGUAAAUUACCCAAUCCCGAUUCGGGGAGGUAGUGACAAGAAAUAACAACUCGGGCGGCGCAAGCCGUUGCGAGAUUGCAAUGGGUACAAUUUAAAACACUUAACGAGUAACAAUUGGAGGGCAAGUCUGGUGCCAGCAGCCGCGGUAAUUCCAGCUCCAAUAGCGUAUAUUAAAGUUGUUGCAGUUAAAAAGCUCGUAGUCGAAGUUCUGGCUGGUCCUGUUUCCGGCUUCGGUCGACUCAGGACCUAGUCAUCCGUCGGAGAACUCUUGUCGUCCUUCACUGGUCGCUUGAGGGAACUGACCCUUUACUUUGAAAAAAUUAGAGUGUUUCAGGCAGGCUCUCGCCCGAAUACUCCAGCAUGGAAUAAUGGAAUAGGACUUUCUUCUAUUUUGUUGGUUAUUAGUGGAAAGUAAUGAUUAAUAGGGACAGUUGGGGGCAUUCGUACUUAAUUGUCAGAGGUGAAAUUCUUGGAUUUAUUAAAGACGAACUAAUGCGAAAGCAUUUGCCAAGGAUGUUUUCA
rnacentral:rRNA from 1 species